CCCUGACAGUCGCAUGGUGCGACUGACACUAGCCACGACAGGAGUUUUUAAUAUG
rnacentral:sRNA from 12 species